rnacentral:lncRNA from 1 species
AUGCCAAAUUCUACAGAAAAACACAAUACAAAUUUUUAUCUGAAUCUAAAACUUGCCUUCCAUUGUAUCGACCCUUCGUAUAAGCAGGUGCCUCCAUUAUCGUUUCUUCCAUAACAAGUAAAGGUUUCGUCACUUCCGUAAAGGGUUUUGCAGUUGCAUCAACAUCUAAGGUUUUCAGAUCUGAGCGGAUCAGGUUUUGGACGGAAAGACAAGCCGGAACGACGAUCGGAGAAGCUAAAAAUUCCAAUUUUUCUUCUGCGGCGGUGGAGUGGUUGCGGUAGGCGGUAGAGUGGUGGUGGUGGGCGGCAAUUGUGGUGGUGGUGGUGUGGGUUUGAGAUGAAUCAUAAAAGAGAAAGACGUACUGCGUUUUUUAGAUCUAGGGUUUUCAUGAGACUAAUUUGUGUUUGACUAAAAUGCCCCUCCUGAUGUUUUUUCUUUUUGUCACAUGUCAUAAUCCUAUUGCUUCCUAUCCUUCCUAGCCAAAAUA